GCGAUGUUAAUGACGGAAAUGGUAACCGGAAAUUAUUUGGUUCGAGAAUUAUCUCCCUAAUCAACCCAAAAUAAAUAAUCGUGAAGGGGGAUAACAGACCUACAGUUUGCAUAAUACCUUGAGGACAGAUUUGUUGUUACACAGCUAGUUGAUUGGAAGGUUAGAAGGUCAAUUUACUUUGGAAGGCGGAUAAGCAACACACGAACAAAGAGUAUUCCAAUUUAGCACUAAGGAUGUGGCUAAAUGUGAUAAACCUAGUAUGUCAAAAAGACAGCAAUUAAAAUGAACAUUGUUUAAUCAUACGUUUUUUUAUUGAGUUAAGUCUGCCAAUUGAUAUUUUAU
rnacentral:lncRNA from 1 species